GACGAACGCUGGCGGCGUGCUUAACACAUGCAAGUCGAGCGGUAAGGCCCUUUCGGGGGUACACGAGCGGCGAACGGGUGAGUAACACGUGGGUGACCUGCCCUCAGCUCUGGGAUAAGCCUGGGAAACCGGGUCUAAUACCGGAUAUGACUCCAUGACGCAUGUUGUGGGGUGGAAAGCCUUGUGCGGCUGAGGAUGGGCCCGCGGCCUAUCAGCUUGUUGGUGGGGUGANGGCCUACCAAGGCGACGACGGGUAGCCGGCCUGAGAGGGCGACCGGCCACACUGGGACUGAGACACGGCCCAGACUCCUACGGGAGGCAGCAGGUGGGGAAUCUUGCGCAAUGGGCGAAAGCCUGACGCAGCGACGCCGCGUGA
rnacentral:rRNA from 1 species